GAUGAACGCUGGCGGCGUGCCUAAUACAUGCAAGUCGAGCGAACAGACGAGGCGCUUGCUCCGCUGACGUUAGGCGCGGACGGGUGAAUAACACGUGUAUAACCUACCUAUAAGACUGGGAUAACCUCGGGAAACCGGAGCUAAUCCCGUAUAAUCUAUUGAACCGCAUGGUGCAAUAGUGAAAGACGGCUGUGCUGUCACUUCUCGAUGGAUCCGCGCCGCAUUAGCUAGUUGGUAAGGUAACGGCUUACGAAGGCAAGGAUGCGUAGCCGACCUGAGAGGGUGAUCGGCCACACUGGAGCGGAGCCGCGGUCCAGGCUCCUACGGGAGGCAGCAGUAGGCUACCGGCCGCAAUGGGCGAAAGCCUGACGGAGCAACGUCGCGUGAGUGAUGAAGGCCCUCCGAUCGUAAAACUCUGUUAUGAGGGAAGAACAAAUGUGUACGUAGCUAUGCACGGCGUGACGGUACCUAAUCAGAAAGCCACGGCUAACUACGUG
rnacentral:rRNA from 1 species